rnacentral:rRNA from 1 species
ACAAGCGGUGGAGUAUGUGGUUUAAUUCGAUGCAACGCGAAGAACCUUACCUGGUCUUGACAUCCCGGAGACCCUUAGGAAACUAGGGGGUGCUUCCAUCUGGAAGAAUCUGGAGACAGGUGCUGCAUGGCUGUCGUCAGCUCGUGUCGUGAGAUGUUGGGUUAAGUCCCGCAACGAGCGCAACCCUUGCCUUUAGUUGCCAGCAGUUCGGCUGGGCACUCUAAAGGGACUGCCGGUGUUAAACCGGAGGAAGGUGGGGAUGACGUCAAGUCCCCAUGGCCUUUAUGACCAGGGCUACACACGUACUACAAUGGCCGAUACAAAGGGCAGCGACACUGCGAGGUGAAGCCAAUCCCGUAAAAUCGGUCUCAGUCCGGAUUGGAGUCUGCAACUCGACUCCAUGAAGUUGGAAUCGCUAGUAAUCGUGGAUCAGCAUGCCACGGUGAAUACGUUCCCGGGCCUU